UACGGAGGGUGCAAGCGUUGUCCGGAUUCAUUGGGUUUAAAGGGUGCGCAGGCGGGCGAUUAAGUCAGGGGUGAAAGACGGUUGCUCAACAAUCGCAGUGCCUUUGAUACUGGUCGUCUUGGGUAACCUUGAGGUAGGCGGAAUGGGUGGUGUGGCGGUGAAAUGCAUAGAUACCACCCAGAACUCCGAUUGCGAAGGCAGCCUACUGGAGGUUUACCGACGCUCAGGCACGAAAGCGUGGGGAUCAAACAGG
rnacentral:rRNA from 1 species